AGUGAACGCUGGCGGUAGGCCUAACACAUGCAAGUCGAACGGCAGCACAGUAAGAGCUUGCUCUUACGGGUGGCGAGUGGCGGACGGGUGAGGAAUACAUCGGAAUCUACUUUUUCGUGGGGGAUAACGUAGGGAAACUUACGCUAAUACCGCAUACGACCUACGGGUGAAAGCAGGGGAUCUUCGGACCUUGCGCGAUUGAAUGAGCCGAUGUCGGAUUAGCUAGUUGGCGGGGUAAAGGCCAACCAAGGGGGAGAUCGUUAGCUGGUCUGAGAGGAGGAUCAGCCACACUGGAACUGAGACACGGUCCAGACUCCUACGGGAGGCAGCAGUGGGGAAUAUUGGAAAAUGGGCGCAAGCCUGAUCCAGCCAUACCGCGUGGGUGAAGAAGGCCUUCGGGUUGUAAAGCCCUUUUGUUGGGAAAGAAAAGCAGCAGGUUAAUACCCCGCUGUUCUGACGGUACCCAAAGAAUAAGCACCGGCUAACUUCGU
rnacentral:rRNA from 1 species